CAACUGUGAACACACUGCCUUCAUGAUGGAUGCUUCUGCUGCCCCUACUGGAGCCAAGCAACACAGACGUUAAGUACUUCUACACAUGGAAUGGUCCCAGCUCUUGAAGACAGGGGAAAUGAGCAGUCUGUACUGAUGGCAUGAGGGAGAGCCAUAUUACUCAGUGCUUUCCCACACACCCAGAGGACUGAAUGCUUUAAUAUGUGCUCUUGAAUGCAACUCAAGCUCUCAACUGACUGGUUUAGAGAGAUCCAGCUCUAAGGAAGGCUACACUAUGGGUGUGCAAAGAUGAUGGAGGCACAAGUACAGUCCUUAAGAAGCUCACACGAAGGGGAGAUAAGAUG